rnacentral:rRNA from 1 species
CAGCGAAUGCGAUACGCAUUGUGAAUUGCAGAUUUCAGUGAACCAUCAGAUUUCCGAACGCAUAUGGCGCUGUAGGGACUUCCCUGCAGCACGUCUGUUUCAGUGUCUUU